CUGGUGCAAAAGGCCUGUGC
rnacentral:piRNA from 1 species